rnacentral:rRNA from 1 species
UGCAGGUCGAGCGGAAAGGCCCUUCGGGGUACUCGAGCGGCGAACGGGUGAGUAACACGUGGGUAACCUGCCUUCAGCUCUGGGAUAAGCCUGGGAAACUGGGUCUAAUACCGGAUACGACACGCGACCGCAUGGUGUGUGUGUGGAAAGUUUUUCGGCUGGAGAUGGACUCGCGGCCUAUCAGCUUGUUGGUGGGGUAGUGGCCUACCAAGGCGAUGACGGGUAGCCGGCCUGAGAGGGCGACCGGCCACACUGGGACUGAGACACGGCCCAGACUCCUACGGGAGGCAGCAGUGGGGAAUAUUGCGCAAUGGGCGAAAGCCUGACGCAGCAACGCCGCGUGAGGGAUGACGGCCUUCGGGUUGUAAACCUCUUUCAGCGCUGACGAAGCCUUCGGGUGACGGUAGGCGCAGAAGAAGCACCGGCUAACUACGUGCCAGCAGCCGCGGUAAUACGUAGGGUGCGAGCGUUGUCCGGAAUUAUUGGGCGUAAAGGGCUCGUAGGCGGUUUGUUGCGUCUGCUGUGAAAGCCCGGGGCUUAACCCCGGGUCUGCAGUGGAUACGGGCAGGCUAGAGUCCGGCAGGGGAGACUGGAAUUCCUGGUGUAGCGGUGGAAUGCGCAGAUAUCAGGAGGAACACCGGUGGCGAAGGCGGGUCUCUGGGCCGGUACUGACGCUGAGGAGCGAAAGCGUGGGGAGCGAACAGGAUUAGAUACCCUGGUAGUCCACGCCGUAAACGUUGGGCGCUAGGUGUGGGUUCCCUUCCACGGGAUCCGUGCCGUAGCUAACGCAUUAAGCGCCCCGCCUGGGGAGUACGGCCGCAAGGCUA